GGAAGCUUCGCCCCGGGUCCACGGGGGGAACGAUCAGCUGCUGUAUGCCCAAGCCGUGCAGUUCACAGAUCAAACGCGAGUGGCCUGCGCCCGCAGGUUAAGAUAUGACCGUAGCAGCUCUGCGAAGAGUCUGACACUCUAGUUCCGUAGGUGAACCUGCGGAAGGAUCAUUA
rnacentral:rRNA from 1 species